UGCAAAACCAAAGCCAUCAGAUCCUCCAAGCACUAUAGCGUUUUUACACAUAGGCUCAAGAAUUGGUUUAGACAACUCAGCACUAAAAUUGAAAUUUAAAUGAAAUUUAAAAAAGAAUUAUACGAAAGUAUUAUUAUUUUCGGACCAUCACCUUUGCUUUUUUUCUUUUUCUGACGUGCCACACUUACAUGAAAUUGACACCGUUUACAUUUCCACAGGCUACUGAAAUGACAGAACAGAACAAAACCUUUAUGAUCAAAUGGAAAACUAACAUAGAAUUAAAUACGUUCUACGGAAAAUAAAAAAGGACGCAACGAAAGUGUCAUAUUACCUUGGAUUUUUAUUGAGGAGUUUGAAGGGAAGUGAGGUUAAGUAUCGUGAUAGCAUGUUGUUUGAAAAUAUAAUGUUUCCUUGUGAUUAAUAUUAUGAAUUUUUGAAUAUAAAGUAAUAAAGUAUGUACAUAAGAAAGAAAAAAAGUAAUAGUAAACGAAAAUGAAGGGCAAAUGCAACAUUAAAUGAAUAAACAGGAAAUUUAGAAAUAAU